AUCAGGAUAGUUUAAAGGUAAAACCUUAAUUUCAUGCAUUAAAGAUGAGAAUUCGAUUUUCUCUCCUGGUU
rnacentral:tRNA from 1 species